ACGGGAGGCAGCAGUGAGGAAUAUUGGUCAAUGGGCGAGAGCCUGAACCAGCCAAGUAGCGUGCAGGAUGACGGCCCUAUGGGUUGUAAACUGCUUUUAUGCGGGGAUAAACGAGGGGACGUGUCCCUUUUUGCAGGUACCGCAUGAAUAAGGACCGGCUAAUUCCGUGCCAGCAGCCGCGGUAAUACGGAAGGUCCGGGCGUUAUCCGGAUUUAUUGGGUUUAAAGGGAGCGUAGGCCGGACUUUAAGCGUGUUGUGAAAUGUAGUCGCUCAACGGGUGCACUGCAGCGCGAACUGGAGUCCUUGAGUGCGCGGGAAGUUGGCGGAAUUUGUGGUGUAGCGGUGAAAUGCUUAGAUAUGACGAAGAACUCCGAUUGCGAAGGCAGCUCGCUGGGCCGCAACUGACGCUGAAGCUCGAAGGUGCGGGUAUCAAACAGGAUUAGAUACCCUGGUA
rnacentral:rRNA from 1 species